UGUGAGUGAAAAGCAAGUUUUGUGAGUUUGUCUUGUGUAGGACUAGAUAGGCUUAUAUGGAACUAAUUUAUUUCAUAAAAAGUUCAACUAAUUUAUGAAAUUAGUACUU